rnacentral:rRNA from 1 species
AUAAGGUUAAGUUAAUAAGGGCGCACGGUGGAUGCCUUGGCACUAGAAGCCGAAGAAGGACGUGACAAACGACGAAAUGCUUUGGGGAGCUGUAAGUAAGCGCUGAUCCAGAGAUGUCCGAAUGGGGGAACCCACUAACUAAUGGUUAGUAUCCAUAACUGUUAAGGUUAUGAGAAGGAAGACGCAGUGAACUGAAACAUCUAAGUAGCUGCAGGAAGAGAAAGCAAACGCGAUUGCCUUAGUAGCGGCGAGCGAAACGGCAGGAGGGCAAACCGAAGUGUUUACACUUCGGGGUUGUAGGACUGCGACGUGGGACUUUAAAAGGAUAGAAGAAUUACCUGGGAAGGUAAGCCAAAGAGAGUAAAAGCCUCGUAUUUAAAAUUCUUUUGAUCCCUAGUAGUAUCCUGAGUACGGCGAGA